rnacentral:lncRNA from 1 species
CCUGACCUCAGGUGAUCCGCCCACCUCGGCCUCCCAAAGUGCUGGGAUUACAGGCGUGAGCCACCGUGCCUGGCCAUGUUGGGUUUUUUUGGGUGGGGAAGGGUAAAUGGGGAUUUGAAAAGUUGAACAUGUCAAUUUAAUUUAACAAGCCCUCAUCACGAGCAGAGCAUGAGCAGGGGCCACUGUCCUGGGUGUUUGGGGAGAAACAGAAGAAGGGAGGGAGGAGCAGCCCUCAGGUUAAAAGCAAUGAUUUGUUCCAACCAAUAUUUGAGUACCCACCCUGUGCCUGGUGUGCUGCUGGGUGCAGUAAUUCAGCAGCCAACAAAGCAAGCCCAUGCACUUGUGCCCUCCCAUUCCAGUGGGGAAGACAAUGUUUAAACAAAUUUACAACAUCGGUCCUAAGUAUUUUGGAGGAAAGCAGCUAAAUAAAAGGAUGAAAGAGGGAUGGGAACGAGGGAUGUUUAGAUGGCAUAGUCAGGGAAGGCCUCUCUUCGGAGAUCACAUUUGAGCAGACUCUAGAAUGAAAGGAUAGGGUAAGCCAUGCAAACCCCUGGGCAAAGAGGUCUCCAAGUAGAGAAAUGAAGCCCUUGAGGCAGCAGUGUCCUCAGUAGGUUCCAGAAAUAGCAAGGUCGCUGGUACAGAGUCAGGGACUGGGAGCGCAAUAGAAGACAUCAGAAAGUAGCCAGGGACCAGGAUAUUUAGGGCUUAGGUGAGGACUUGGAAUUUCAUUAGAGUGAAUGGGAAGCCAUUGAAGGCUUUGGAGCAGAGGAGUCACAGGGGCUUAUUUACAUUUUUAAAAGACCAUUCUGGAAAACAGUCUUUGUACUCAGGCAGGGACAAGUGGAAAAAAGGGGCAAAAUAAGAUUGUUACCCCAGUAUUCCAGGGGAGGAGACGGUGGCUCAGACUAAGGUAGUAGAGUAUAGGUGGGACGAAAUGGGCAGAUUCAAGGUACAUUUUGAAGUUAGAACAGUUUUCUGAGAGACUUCAUGCAGAGUUGUUGGAGAGAAAGGAGAAAAGUAACUAAAAGGGUAAGUGCCUGAGUAAAAGAACAGCAUUGCAGUUUUCUAAGGUGAAGACAAUUGGUAGAACAAAAGCUGAGAAUGGUCAUGCCUGUAAUCCCAGCACUUUGGGAAGCCAAGGUGGGAGGAUCACUGGAGCCCAAGACUUCGAGACCGACCAGCCUGGGCAAUGUAGUGAGACCCCAUCUCUACAAACAAUUAAAAAUUAGCUGGGCAUGAUGGUGCACGCCAGUAGUGCCAGAUACCCAGGAGACUAAGGCAGAAGGAUCGCUUGAGCCCAGGAGUUGGAAGCUGCAGUGAGCUGUGAUCUUGCCACUGCACUCCAGCCUGGUCAACAGAGUUGAGACCCUGACUGUUAAGAAAAUAGCACUUUGGGAGGCCGAGGCGGGCAGAUCACCUGAGGUCAGGAGUUUGAGGCCAGCCUGGCCAACAUGGUGAAACCCCGUCUCUACUAAAAAUACAAAAAUUAGCGGGGCGUGGUGGCAGGCGCCUGUAAUCCCAGCUAUUUGGGAGGCUGAGACAGGAGAACCGCUUGGACCCAGGAGGCAGAGGUUGCAGUGAUCUGAGAUCACGCCACUGCACUCCAGCCUGAGCAACAGAGAGCGAAACUGUCUCAAAAUAAUAAUAAUAAUUUGAUUUGAGUCAUGUUCACUUUCAGAUGCCAACACAUGCACCUAAGUGUAUAGUCAACAAAACAGUUGGCUGGACUAGCGGGAUUCAAGGGGAGUGGUUGGAGCUGGAGACACACAUUUGGGAGUUGGCGGCAUGAAGAUAGCAGAUCGAGCCUCAGGCAGGGAAGGAGACCUGGAGCGUGUGUGUGGCUGACAGGAACCAAGGACUGAUCUUGGAGCUUGGUGCGCUCCAACACAUGGAGGUCAGGAAGAGAGAGGAGUCCAGCCAGGAGGACAAGCAGUGGCCGUGGAGGGAGAGUGUGGAAGACUGAGGAAGUGGUUGCUUUGUCCAGGGCAGCCAAUAGGUUACAGGAAGGACUGAGCAGGGACCACAGGUUUUGUUAACUGAAAGGUGUAAGAAGUCCGAGGGAGCCAGGGGAUACCCUAAUUUUUCCCAAUUUCAGAACCAAUUAAGAAACAAAAAAUAAGACGAUGGGAGAUGGGAGACCAAAAUACCACCCUUAUUACUGAUAAAACUGCUGUUAGAAAAUGUGGUUACAUCUGGGAACACUGGAUUUCUUUUCUUUUCUUUUUUUUUUGUGAUGGCAUCUCGCUCUGUCGCCCAGGCUGGAGUGCAGUGGUGUCAUCUUGGCUCACUGCAAGCUCCGCCUCCCAGAUUCACACCAUUCUCCUGCCUCAGCCUCCCCAGUAGCUGGGACUACAGGCACCCGCCACCGCGCCCGGCUAAUUUUUUUUUUUGUAUUUUUAGUAGAGACGGGGCUUCACCAUGUUAGCCAGGAUGGUCUCGAUCUCCUGACCUCAUGGUCUGCCCGCCUCAGCCUCCCAAAGUGCUGGAAUUACAGGCGUGAGCCACCGCGCCCGGCCUGGAUUUAUUUUGUAAGGCUGAACCUCAGAAUGAGGCGGUUUAGAGCAGUGCUUCUUGAACUUUAUUGUGCACCAGAAUCCCCUGGGGAUCGUACUAAAAUGCAGGUUCUGAUUGAGUAGGGCUUGGGUGGAGCCUGAGAUUCUGCUUUUCUAAUAAGCUUCCAAGUGAUGUCAGUAUUGCCAUUGUGGGGAUCACUCUUUGAGUAGCAGAAGUUAAGAGGAACGCAGCGCAUAUGUCCCCUGAAGGCAGCCGAGGUUCUGAGAGAGAGGGAGGAAGUGGCCAGGCAGUCUAUGCCUAACCGCUCCUUCCAGACUCACAGGAACAUUCUAGUAAUGGGGCUCACUUCUCAUGGAGGGAGGCAUCAGGAGUGCUUCUACACUAGCAAGGUCAUUGGUGAGGGGAGCAUUUGUUUGAGUGGUGCCUAAUUGGAGUAGGUUCUAGGGAAAGUGGGAGGAGAGGAGGGUGAAACAGUACAAACAAUUCUUUCAUAGAUUUUUCUGUAAAAGGGAAAAGACAAAUGGAGUAACUGGAAGGGGAUAUGGGGUAAAGGAGAGGCUUUUGUUUUAAAGAAGGGAAAUAGCAUAGCUUGUGCAUGUACUAAUUGGAAAAAAUGAACUGGGAGGGAAAACCUGGCAGUGGGGAAGACAGUGAGGUGGAGAGAGUUGUGGAGUGGGCCUGAGGGACUGGGGGCCAGUGCACAGCAGAGAGGUAGGUCCUAGAUCCAACUGAGCACCCUGGCUUAUAUCCACAGUGCUGCCGACAGCUCAGUGAUAGGAACACUGCAAGUCUCUGGAUUGCUAGGACUCUUCAGUCUUAAGUUAAUGUCUGGCUGGGCGUGGUGGCUCAUGCCUGUAAUCCCAGCACUUUGGGAGGCUAAGGCGGGUGGAUCACCUGAGCUCAGGAGUUCAAAACCAGCCUGGCCAACAUGGUGAAACCCUGUCUCUACUAAAAAUACAAAAAUUAGCUGGGCAUGGUGGUGGGUACCUGUAAUCCCAGCUACUCGGGAGGCUGAGGCUGGAGAAUCACUUGAACCCGGGAGGCAGAGGUUGCGGUGAGCCGGGAUCACACCAUUGCACUCCAGCCUGGGCUACAGAGCGAGAUUUUUGUCUCAAAAAAAAAAAAAAAAAAAAAGUUAGUUAAUGUCAGCUCUAGGGCUUAUGUCAGGCCACGUCUUCCUGAAACUGGACUUGCAGUUUAAAAUGGGAGAUCAUCCCCGAAUCAGUGCAUAUUAUGCUGGUUGUGCCCUCAACUAGACCUCACCCAGGAGCAUGUAGGAUUGAAUCCUCACUAGGGUUGCACGCUUAGUAAAUCCCCAUGUCUCUUGCAAAGCUGAUAGUUUGGGAAGUCAGGUGACCCAUGGAAGCAUGCAUGAGUCUGGUGCGCUGCUUUUCUUUUGUUGUUGUUGUUUUGAGACGGAGUCUUGCUCCGUCGCCCAGGCUGGAGUGCAGUGGCACAAUCUCGGCUCACUGCAAGCUCCGCCUCCUGGGUUCACGCCAUUCUCCUGCCUCAGCUUCCUGAGUAGCUGGGACUACAGGCGCCCGCCACCACGCCUGGCUAAUUUUUUGUAUUUCUUAGUAGAGACAGGGUUUCACCGUGUUAGCCAGGAUGGUCUUGAUCUCCUGACCUUGUGAUCUGCCCACCUCGGCCUCCCAAAGUGCUGGGAUUACAGGUGUGGGCCACUGCGCCUGGCCCGGGCUCGUGCGCUGCUUUUCUAUCUGGUUCUUCUUGUUAUUCCACUUGCGGUUGGAUGGGGAGAUAUUCCACUUUCCCUUAGGAACUCUUGUCCCUGCACAGACCAUUUUAGCUAUUCUGAGCACAUCACAAGCAUACUCCUCUGGGGUGAGAAUAUAUAGCCUCUGGGCUUUUUCAGAAUUGCUCCUUCUGCUACUCUGGAAGCUAACGUGGAAUGAUUGCUUGAGUCCAGCAGUUCAAGGCCAGCAUGGGCAACAAAGCAAGAACCUGUUUCUUUAAAAAAAAAAAAAAAAAAAAAAAAAGGCGGGGGGAGCAGGCAUGGUGGCUUACACCUGUAAUCCCAGCACUUUGAGAGGCCGUGGCAGGAGGAUCACUUGAAGCCAGAGCUCAAAACCAGCCUGGGCAACUUAGUGAGCCCCCAUUUCUACAAAAAAUAAAAACAAUUAACUGGGCAUGGUGGUACACACCUGUAGCCUCAGCUACUCAGGAAGCUGAGAUGGGAGGAUCCCUUGAGCCCAGGAGUUUGAGACUGCAGUGAGCUAUGAUGGUGCCACUGGCGCCUGGGUAACAAAGCAAGACCCUGUCUCAAAAAAAAAAAAAAAAAAAAAAAGGAGCUGGGCAUAGUGGCAUGUGCCUGUAAAUGAAAGGCAUCAUUUCAUGCAAGCUCCUCUGAGCCCAGGAGUUCCAGCCUAGCCCAGGCAACAGGGCAAGACCACGUCUCAAAAAAAAAAAAAGUACUCUUUCCACCUAAAAUAUAUUCAGGUCAUUUGAGUUCAGUUUGAGUUCAGCUACGAGAAUUAUUUAGUUGAGUGAGUGUCAGAGCUGGGAUUUUCAAAUCUGCCCUUACUGGUAUGUUGCUUUACACACCCUCUUACGUAAAUCAAACUAGGAUUCCACCCUGGGAGGUUUGCAUAGAGGGCUGUUCUUGUAGAACUUGUGCUCAUGCUUUGAUUUGGGAUUUGGGGAGUUAGGGCAAGCCAGAAAGUUUUUCUGGUGGAUAAUAAUGUGGGUUGACUUUCUUAAGCAUUUUAAGCCAAGCACUUGAGUUUCUAACAACUAAAAAGCUAAGUCAGCCUGACACAGCUCUAGCGCGCCCUGGCUUGAUUCUGUUCAUCCCCAGGGGGAGACUUGCCUUUGUUCCAGUCCUGCUCUCCCAAGCCAGCUUACUGUAGUUUUCCAGCAAUUCUGAGAAGCAGUAUUUUUUACUGCUGAUUAGAACCUUAACAUGGAAAUGGAAAGUUUGUGUAGCAUGUAACAUUAUUAGAAGGGAAAACAUGACUAUAUGAUUAGAUACAUAUUGAUUUUAUGCAAUAUGUUUGCAUAAAAUCUCUUCAGUAGUAACUUGGUUAAAUUAUUCACAUUGACUCAGCAUAAUUUCUCCCUUGCUAAAUCUCAGACUAAAGCAAUCAAUUUGUUCCUGCAAGAAAGUCUGAUGGUAGGCUUUCCUUGUAACUGAGCCCCAUAGAAAGAGGAAGCAGCUGCAACAAAGUUGAAAAGGAUGCCUGUCACCAAGGUUCUUUUAAGGGAGCCAUUGUGUGAAGUUCUACUUGUGAAAUUUCUGCAAGUACUGUUUGUUCUCCAAAAUCCAGCUUUCCGUUGAAAGUCAAUGAAACAUCUCUAAAAUGCAGACAUACCCAGGUUCAUUGGGAACACAGUCACUGUGAGUAUACAUGAUUAUGUCCUGCUAACCCUAUUGGGAAAGAAUGCUGGGCUUGGCCCUAGUAAGUAGACUUGGGUUAAAGUUCACCUCCGCCACUAACUAGCUGGGAAGUUCAACUUCCCUGAGCUGAGUUUGUCACGUUAGAGAAUAUUAAUAAAUAUGAAAAUUGUGGAGCAGUCUUAAGUUUAAAAGGAACUUUCAUGGACAUUAGCUCAUUUUGCUGUGCCCACCCUGGGAAGGAAGCAGGACAGGCAGGCAGUGGCAUCCCUGUCGUCAAGCAGCCUGAGGACUGCUGUGAGCCUCUGGAGCAAGGCAGGAGUUUGAGGAGGCUCUCAGUCCUUUUGUCCUUUUUUUGAGACAGAGCAUCAUUCUGUUGCCCAGGCUGGAGUGCAAUGGCAUGAUCUUGGCUCACUGCAACCUCUGUCCCCCACCCUUACCACUGGGUUCAAGCAAUUCUUAGGCCUCAGCCUCCUAAGUAGCUGGGACUACAGGAUGCACCACCACGCCCAGCUAAUUUUGGGGGGGUUUUUUUUGAGACGAGUUUCACUCUUGUGGUCCAGGCUGGAGUGUAGUUGCGUGAUCUCGGCUCACUGCAACCUCUGCCUCCUGGGUUCAAGUGAUUCUCCUGCCUCAGCCUCCCGAGUAGCUGGGAUUACAGGCGCCCACCAACACGCCUGGCUAAUUUUUUGUAUUUUUAGUAGAGACGGGGUUUUGCCAUGUUGGUGGUCUCAAACUCUUGACCUCAGGUGAUCCACCCGCCUCGGCCUCACAAAGUGCUGGAGUUACAGGUGUGAGCCUGUGUGUCCUUUCUAUUGAGGCUUCUCUCCACAUUUUCUGAUCCUCAGUCUCCUUAUUUCCUGUAAGGCUGAGGUCCCAAAUCCAGCCUGUGAAAGAGAAAUGCCAGCAGAGGCAGCACCCAGCACAGGAUCUAUUAUUGCAGCAUGCCCUGUGGUCAGGGCCUUCAGUAAAAGCCCACAGACCCUGACUACUUUCUGGCGGACUCUGGAGGAAGGCCUUAACCACAGACAAAAGGACAAGGACAGUGCUGUGGAGGGACUGCUGGCUGCUGCAGCGUGAAGAGAAUAGGGAAUGCACUCUACAAAAAUAAAAAAGCAUAAAAUUGGAAAAAAUAUAUACCAAAAACAUUUCAAGGUUCUGGACAUCAACCAAAGGCAGGCAAAUUAAGAAGCAUUUAUUCUUGAGAAAAAACUGGCUGGGCACGGUAGCUUGCACCUGUAAUCUCCCAACACUUUGGGAAGCAAAGGUGGGAAGUUGGCUGGAGGCCAGGAGUUCAAGGCCAGCCUAUGCAACCAAGCAAGACCCUGUCUCUACAAAAAAUAAUAAUGAAUAAUAAAAAGAAAAAGAGUGGCUCACGCCUGUAAUCCCUGCACUUUGGGACGCCUAGGCAGGUGGAUCACCUGAGGUCAGGAGUUCGAGACCAGCCUGACCAACCUGGUGAAACCCAUGUCUCUACGAAAAAUACAAAAAAAUUAGCCAGGCAUGGUGGCUCAUGCCUGUAAUCCCAGCAACUUGGGAGGCUGAGACAGGAGAAUCGCUUGAACCUGGGAGGCGGAGGUUGCGGUGAGCCAAGAUAGCACCACUGCCCUCCAGACUGGGCAACAAGAGCGAAACUUAGUAUCAAAAGAAAAGAAAAAGAUAAAGAAAAAAAAAGUGCUAGAACUUUUUUUUUUUUGAGACGGAGUUUUGCUCUUGUUGCCCAGGCUGGAGUGCAGUGGCACGAUCUCGGCUCACUGCAACAUCUGCCUCCCAGGUUCAAGCAAUUCUUUUGCCUCAGCCUCCCCAGUAGCUGGGAUUACAGGCAUGCACCACUGCGGCUAAUUUUUUAUUUUUAGUAGAGAUGGGGUUUCUCCUUGUUGGUCAGGCUGGUCUCAAACUCCCGACCUCAGGUGAUCCUCCACCUCGGCCUCCUAAAUCGGCCUCCCAAAGUGCUGGGUUUACAGGUGUGAGCCACUGACCCGGGCCGAGAAGUGUACCUUUUUUUUUUUUUUUUUUUUUUUAAAUGGAGUCUCACUCUGUCGCCCAGGAUGGAGUGCAGUGGCGCGAUCUCAGCUCACUGCAAGCUCCGCUUCCCGGGUUCACGCCAUUCUCCUGCCUCAGCCUCCCGAGUAGCUGGGACUACAGGCGCCUGCCACCAUACCUGGCUAAUUUUUCAAUUUUUAGUAGAGACGGGGUUUCACCAUUUUGGUCAGGCUGGUCUCAAACUCCUGACCUUGUGAUCCGCCCUCCUCAGCCUCCCAAAGUGCUGGGAUUACAGGCGUGAGCCACCGCACCCGGCCUCAAGAAGUGUACUUUUUUAUCAGCUAAAAGUGGCAAAGUUCUUGAGAAAUAAACGGCUUGAGAAAGCCGUUUCUUGAGAAAGAAACCCACAGCUUACUAGCCUGAGAUCUCAAGUAGCAGACUAGCUAGAAAUCUAGGAGACUCUGGAAAUGAGAAUGCCACAAAAGGAUUAGACAGGACCUCAGCACAUCACUCGCUGGCUGGAAAACCAGACACGUACACAGAUGAGACUUCAGAAAGCCCAUAGAAAUUAAAAGCCAAGGGAGAGCUGGGCACCAUGGCUCACACCUGUAAUCCCAGCACUUUGGGAGGCCAAGGUAGGCAGAUCACCUGAGGUCAGGAGUUCAAGACUAGCCUGGCUAACACAGCAAAACCCCGUCUCUACUGAAAAUACAAAAAUUAGCCAGGCGUGGUGGUGCAUGCCUGUAAUCCCAGCUACUUGGGAGGAUGAGGCAGGAGAAUCGCUUGAACCCAGGAGGCGGAGGUUGCAGUGAGCCAAGAUCCCACCACUGCACUCCAGCCUGGGGAGCAAGAGCAAAAUUCUGUCUCAAAAAAAAAAAAAAAAAAAAGCCAAGGGAGAUUUAAGAAGUAGGUGAUCCCUGAAUGCACCGCCAACCCACCCAGAUAGGCCUAAAUAUCUGAGCACAGCCAAGGUGUUUGAGCACAACCUCUUCCCAGAUCUUUGGCCACUAAGUUAUGGAGACACAAGGCAACCAUCAGGAAGUCAAGCUAAAACCUAAAGAAUAAAAAAAAUCUGGGUGCAGUAGCUCAACCUGUAAUCCUAGCACUUUGGGACGCCAAGGUGGGAGGAUUAUUUAAGUCCAGGAGUUUGAGACCAGCCUGGGCAACAGAGAGAGAUCUCGUCUUGUCUCUUAAAAAAAAAAAAAAAAAAAAAAAAGGCCAGACACGGUGGUGUGCACCUGUAGUCCCAACAACUUGGGAGGCUGAGAUGGGAGGAUUGCUUGAGCCCAGGAGUUCAAGACUGCAGUGAGCCACUGCACUUCAGGCUGGACAACAGAGCGAGUCCCUGUGUCAAAAAAAAAAAGGAAAAAGAAAAGAAACAAAAAUCUGGGCUGGGUGUGGUGGCUCACACCUGUAAUCCUAGCACUUUGGGAGGCCAAGGUGGGCAGAUCACUUGAGAUCAGGAGUUUGAGACCAGCCAUGGCCAACAUGGUGAAACUCCAUCUCUAUUAAAAAUACAAAAAUUAGCCAGGCAUGGUGGCGUGAACCUGUAGUCCCACUCAUUUUGGGGGCUGAGGUGGGAUUGCUUGAGCCCAGGAGGUCAAGGUUGCCGUGAACUGUGAUUGUGCCACUGCACCCCAGCCUGGGCAACAGAGCAACACCCUGUCUCUGAAAAAAAAAAAAAAAAAAAAAAAAUGCUUAACUGCUCAUCAGAAACAGUAAAGGCUAAAGCCACUGCAAUGGAUAUUCAAAGUGCUGAAAGGAAAAAACAAUCACCCAAUAAUUUUAUAUACAGCAAAACUAGCCUUCAAAAGUGAAGGUGAGGCCGGGUGCGGUGGCUCACACCUGUACUCCCAGCACUGUGGGAGUCUGAAGCAGGAUUGCUUGCGCCCAGGAGGACCAGACCAGCCUCUACAGAAAAAUUUUAAAAAUUAGCCAGACAUGGUGGCACCCACCUGCGGUCCUAGCUACUUGGGAGGCUGAAGUGGGAGAACUGCUUGAGCCCAGGAGGUUGGGGGUACAGUAAGCUAUGUUCAAACCACAGCACUCCAGACUGGGUGACAGACCAAGACCCUGUCCCAAGAAAAAGGUGAAAUAAAGACAUUCUGAGAUUUUUAAAAAGGGAGAAUAAGAGAAUUAUUGCUAGCAGACCUCUCCUAAAAGAGGUACUAAAGGGGCCGGGUGUGGUGGCUCACUCCUGUAAUCUCAGCACUUUCUGAGGCCAAGGCAGGCAGAUCACCUGAGGUCGGAAGUUCGAGACCAGCCUGACCAACAUGGAGAAACCCCAUCUCUACUAAAAAUACAAAAUUAGCCAGGCAUGAUGGCACAUGCCUGUAAUCCCAGCUACUUGGGAGGCUGUGGCAGAAGAAUCGCUUGAACCUGGGAGGCAGAGGUUGUGGUGAGCCGAGAUUGAGCCACUGCACUCCAGCAUGGUUGACAAGAGCAAAAUUCUGUCUCCAAAAAAAAAAAAAAAAGAAGUACUAAAGGAAGUCCUUCAGCCUAAAAGAAAAGGACACUAGAACAAUAUCUUGAAUUCACCAGAAGGCAUGGAGCACUAGAAUGAUGAAGGCAGCUAAAUGUAAAACACUAUAUAUUUCUCUUUUUUUUUUUUUUUUUUUGAGACAGUGUCUUGGUCUGUUGCUCAGACUGGAGUGCAGUGGCACAAUCCCGGCUCACUGAAGCCUCCGCCUCCCGGGUUCAAGCAAUUCUCCUUCCUCAGCCUCCUGAGUAGCUGGGACUACAGGUGCACGCCACCACACCCAGCUAAUUUUUUGUAUUUUUAGUAGAGUCGGGGUUUCACCAAGUUAGCCGGGAUGGUCUCGAUCUCCUGACCUCGUGAUCUGCCCACCUCGGCCUCCCUAUAUUUCUCUUUUAUACUUUAUAUUUUUCUCUCUUUUUUAAUUUUUUAAAAAACAAGGUUGUUUAAACCAGUUAUAACACAUUGCUGGGUUUAUAACAUAUAAAGAUAUAUAUAUAACACAAAGGAAGAGCAAGGGAAGGGUAGUAAAGUUACUGUAUUUUACCAGAAUUUUCAGUAUUGAGCUGAAAUAUACUGUAAUAAGUUAAAGCUACAUACUGCAAUCCCUAGACAACCACACAGAAAGUAACUCAAACAUAUAACUAAAAGGAAAAAACCCUUCAACUUUGGGAUCAGGAUAAUACAUACAUACACAUACACAAAUGUAACACAGAAAAAGGAGUUAAAGAAGCCAGGCGUGGUGGCUCACGCCAGUAAUUCCAGCACUUGGGGAGGCCGAGGCAGGCAGAUCACCUGAGGUCAGGAGCUCAAGACCAGCCUGGCCAACAUGGUGAAACCCUGUCUCUACUAAAAAUGCAAAAAUUAGCCAGUCAUGGUGGCAUGCCUGUAAUCCCAGCUACUUGGCAGGCUUAAAACAGGAGAAUUGCUUUAACCCGUGAGGUGGAGGUUGCAGUGAACUGAGAUGGUGCCACUGCACUCCAGCCUGGGCGACAGAGUGAGACUCCAUCUCAAAAAAGAAUUAAAGAGAAACAAAGGGACAACAAAGAUGAGAAAUAUAGAAAACAAGUAUUAAAAUGUCAUCCAUAUAUUCAACCAUAUCAACAAUUACAUUAAACAUGAAUGGACUAAAUAUUCCAAAGGGCACAGACUGUAAAACUGUAUAAAAAAGCAAGAUUCAACUAUAUGCUAUCUACAAGAGAUCCUUUAGAUUCAAAGACACAAAUAAUAGAGUGAAAGUGAAAAGAUAUACCAUGCAAUCAAGAAUCACAAGAGAGCAGGAAUAGCUAUAUGAACAACAGUCAACAUGGCCUUUUUCCCCAAGUUCUUCCUGCAUACAUUUAACUCAGCAUAGACUUUAAUAGUAGUAUUAAUAUUAGAAACAUAAAGGAACAUUUUAUGAUGAUAAUGGCUAUAUCAAUACAUUAUGAAGAUUUAGCCAUUAUAAAUAUAUACACUGCUAACAUUAGUCUCAAAAACAGAAUUGAAAGGAAAAAUAUACAAUUGAAAAUCCAUGAUAGGCCCAGUACAGUGGCUCAACGCCUGUAAUCCCCGCACUUUGGGAGGCCGAGGCAGGCAGAUCACUUGAGGUGAGGAGUUCGAGACCAGCCUAGCCAACAUAAUGAAAUGCUGUCUCUACUAAAAAAAAAAAAAAAAAAAAAAAAAUUAGCUGGAUGUGGUGGCACUUGCCUGUAAUCCCAGCUACUCAGGAGCCUUAGGCAGGAGAAUCGCUUAAACCUGGGAGGUGGAGCCUGUAGUGAGCCGAGAUCAUGCCAGUGUGAUAUUGAGUCUUGCAAAUCCGUUAACAUGUUACAAUGUCUUAUUUAGAUCUGUAAUUUGCUUCAGCAAUGUUUUGUGGUUUUGAGUGUAUAGGCUUUGGACUUAUUUUAUUAAAUUCAAUAUCUUAUUCCAAAUAUUUUAUUCUUUUGAUGUUAUUGUAAAUGACACUUUUUUUUUUUUGAGACUGAGUCUCACCCUAUUGCCCAGGCUGGAGUGCAGUGGCACCUCCCAGGUUCAAGCAAUUCUCCUGCCUCAGCCUCCUGAGUAGCUGGGAUUUUUAGUAGAGAUGGGGUUUUGCCAGUUUGGCCAGACUGGUCUUGAACUCCUAGGCUCAAGUGAUCUGCCUGCCUUGGCCUCCUAAAAUGCUGGGAUUACAGCCAUGGGCCACUGUGCCCGGCCAUAAUUUUUGAAUUUUUUUUUUUUGGUAGAGAUGGGUUUCCGCCAUGUUGCCCAGGCUGUUCUCCAACCCUGGGCUCAAGUGAUACUCCUGCCUCGGCCUUCCAAAGUGCUGGGACUAUAAGUGCAGGUGUGGACCACCGUGCUUGGCCUUUUUUUUUUUUCUUUUUUUUUUUUGAGACAGGGUUUUGGCUCUGUCACUCAGGCUGGAGUGCAGUGGUACCAUCAUGACUCAUUGCAGCCUCAAUGUCCCAGCCUCAAGCAGUCUUUCCACCUAACCCUCUCGAGUAGCUGGGACUACAGGCAUGCACCACCACACCUGGCUAGUCUUAUUUUUAAUUUUUGUUUUUUUAAGUAGAGAUGGGGGUCUCACUAUGUUGCUCAGGCUGGUCUCCAACUCCUGGGCUCAAGUGAUUCUCCCACCUCAGCCUCCCAAAAUGCUGGGAUUACAGGCGUGAACCGCCAUGCCCAGCAGAAAAAUUGUCAUUGGAAUAAAGUCUGGGGUUUUGUUAAAAGUUUUAUAUCGGCCGGGUGUGGUGGCCCAUGCCUGUAAUCCUAGCACUUUGAGAAGCUGAGGGGGGAGAUUCCCUGAGCUCAGGGAUUCAAGACCAGCCUGGACAAUGCAGUGAAACCCUGUCUCUACUAAAAUACAAAAAAUUAGCUGGGCGUGGUGGCGUGCACCUGUAGUCCUGGCUACUUGGGAGGCUGAGGCAGGACAAUUUCUUGAACCCAGGAGGCAGAGGUUGCAGUGAGCCGAGAUCACGCCACUGCACUCCAGCCUGGGCGACAGGGCGAGACCUGGAGUGCAGGCACAAUUAUGGCUCCCUGCAGCCUUGACCUCCCCAGGUUCAGGUGAUCCUCCCACCUCAGUUUUUCUAUUUUUAGUAGAGCCCUCCACCUCCCGGGUUCAAGCAAUUCUCCUGCCUCAGCCUCCUGAGUAGCUGGGAUUACAGGCAUGUGCCACCACGACGGGUUAAUUUUUGUAUUUUUAGUAGACACAGGGUUAUACCAUGUUGCCCAGGCUGGACUUCAACUCCUGGGCUCAAGUGAUCCACCUGUCUUGGCCCCACAAAGUGCUAGGAUUACAGGUGUGAGCCACCACACCUGGCCAGCAGUUUCUUAAAAAGUUACACUUACCUUAAAACCCAGCAAUCCACUCCUAAGUAUAUGUCUAAAAGAAAUGAAAACAACAGGCUGGGUGUGGUGGCUCACACCUGUAAUGCCAGCACUUUGGGAGGCUAAGGUGGUAGCUCUCCAGACCACCCAGGGCAACAUGGUAAAACCCCGUCUCCACUAAAAAUACAAAAAAAUUAACCGGGUGUGGUGGGGCACACCUCUAGUCCCAGCUACUUGGGAGGCUGAGGCAGGAGAAUCACUUGAGCCCCAGAGGCAAAGGUUUCAGUAAGCCGAGAUCGUGCCACUGCACUCUAGCUUGGGCUACAGAGUGAGACUCCAUCUCACACACACACACACAAAAGAAAUGAAAACAACAAUUUGUACAUGAGUUCAAAACAGAAUUAUUUAUUUCCCAAACUAGAAACAAUCCAAAUGUCUAUCAACAGAUAAAUGGAUAAGCAAAUGAUGACACAAUUGCAUUAAUGGAAUACCACUCAGCAAUGAAAAGGAACAAACCACUCAUACCUACAACACAGAUGAGCCUCAGAAACGUGAUGCUAAGUGAAAGAAGCCAGACCAAAAAAAUUAUAUGCUAUUAUUCCAUUUCUAUGAAAUUUCUGGAAAAGGCAAAAACCAUGCAAAGUAGAUCAGAGGUUGGCUGGGGGUGAGAGCAGAGACUGACUACAAAUAGGCCCAAGGGAACGUUUUGGGGUGAUGGAAGUUUUCUAUAAGUGGAUUAUGGUGAUGGCUACACAACAGUAUAAAUUAAAGGUCAUCCAAAUGUGUACUUACAAUGUUUGAAUUGUAUGACAUGUAAAUUAUCUCAUUAAAUCUGUAUUUUAAAA